rnacentral:rRNA from 1 species
UAGGGAAUCUUCGGCAAUGGGCGGAAGUCUGACCGAGCAACGCCGCGUGAGUGAAGAAGGUUUUCGGAUCGUAAAGCUCUUUUGUUAGAGAAGAACGUUGGUAGGAGUGGAAAAUCUACCAAGUGACGGUAACUAACCAGAAAGGGACGGCUAACUACGUGCCAGCAGCCGCGGUAAUACGUAGGUCCCGAGCGUUGUCCGGAUUUAUUGGGCGUAAAGCGAGCGCAGGCGGUUCUUUAAGUCUGAAGUUAAAGGCAGUGGCUUAACCAUUGUACGCUUUGGAAACUGGAGGACUUGAGUGCAGAAGGGGAGAGUGGAAUUCCAUGUGUAGCGGUGAAAUGCGUAGAUAUAUGGAGGAACGCCGGUGGCGAAAGCGGCUCUAUGGUCUGUAACUGACGCUGAGGCUCGAAAGCGUGGGGAGCAAACAGG